UUCCGCAAUGGACGAAAGUCUGACGGAGCGACGCCGCGUGCGGGAUGAAGGCCCUUGGGUUGUAAACCGCUGUCAGAGGGGAUGAAAUCUCCGGAGGUUCUCCUCCGGAGUUGACAGAGCCUCAGAGGAAGCACGGGCUAAGUAUGUGCCAGCAGCCGCGGUAAUACAUACUGUGCGAACGUUAUUCGGAAUCACUGGGCUUAAAGGGUGCGUAGGCGGUGGUUCAAGUCAGAUGUGAAAUGCCUGAGCUCAACUGAGGCAUUGCGUUUGAAACUGGAUCGCUUGAGUAUCCCAGGGGUGUGCGGAACUGCCAGUGGAGCGGUGAAAUGUGUUGAUAUUGGCAGGAACACCGGAGGCGAAAGCGGCACACUGGGGGAUAACUGACGCUGAGGCACGAAAGCCAGGGUAGCGAACGGGAUUAGAUACCCCGGUAGUC
rnacentral:rRNA from 1 species